UCGCAAGUAGGCAGAGAGGCAGGCAGAGACAGAGGGGGAAGCAGGCUCCCUGCUGAGCAGAGAGCCCGAUGCGGGGCUCGAUCCCAGGACCCUGGGAUCAUGACCUGAGCCGAAGGCAGCGGCUUAACCCACUGAGCCACCCAGGCGCCCCGGGAACCAAGUUUUGACACAGGACGUAUGAAUGUGUUUCCACACAUCUGAGUAGAGAGGCCGACAGGACAGACACAGCCCUCGCCCCCUUCGUCCCGGUGAGGGAGACACCAAGGCGCAACCAGGCCAAGGCACAACGUGUGUAUUAAAGAGCAACGGGUGCCACAAAGGGAAGGCGAUGGUGGUGAGUGGCUCCGAGUCAUCGGGGAUCGGGGGUGGCCUUUGUGAGGAGAUGACGUGAGCGCUAAGACGCACGACGGGGGACCCCGGGAAGGAAGGGGCUUAGAGAGUUUGAGGAGCAGAACGAAGGCCAGGGUGGCUGGGACAGAGUGAGCCCGAGGGAGAAGAGAAGGCAUGAAGGGGAGUGGCCGGGGCUUCCCGGUCUGGCUCCAGAAGCUUCCCUUCCUCCCAGCCUGGGUCUGUCUGCACUGCGAUGGGAAGCCAGUGGGUGGCUUUCAGGAGGAAGAACAGUGUCGCCUGAUUUCCAUUUUUUUUUUUUUUUUUUAUUUGACAGAGAGAGAUCACAAGUAGGCAGAGAGGCAGGCAGGGGGCGGGGGGAAGCAGACUCCUUGCUGAGCAGAGAGCCCGAUGCGGGGCUCGAUCCCAGGACCCUGGGAUCAUGACCUGAGCCGAAGGCAGAGGCUUUAGCCUACUGAGCCACCCAGGCGCCCCCUGGUUUCCCAUUUUUAAAAGAGUAACUUUGGAGUGUGGGUUCACGUGAGACACACACACACACACACGCACACACACACACAAGUGUAAAAGCCGGAAAGCAGCCGUGGGUCUCUGGGGGUCGGCCCGCAUCCUCUAGCACUGGCUGGGAAAGGUGGGCGGAAAGGGAAGAAAUCAGAGAGGUCUGGGACAGGUGAGGGACCUAAGUCAGUAAGACACACAGACUGGGUGAGGGGCUCAGAGGAAGUAGAAUCCGCGGUGAUGCUGACGUUGGUGUGAGGAGCUGGACCGAGGCCGCCAGGGCUCGGAGAGGAGAGACGGGACGGCAGGAGGAGAAGCCAAGUCCGCCUUGGUCACCGGGAGUGUGACACUGACAAGGAGGACCCUGAGACCAUGACCUGAGCCGAAGGCAGAGGCUUUAACCCACUGAGCCACCCAGGCGCCCCAUUGGCUUUACUUUUAAACGGCGAGGCACGAACGUGGAGUGUGGCCAUCUCCUCCCGUCCGGACCCCUCUUCCUGACCUCUGUGAGACGGGCCGAGCUGGCAAACCACAGGACAGGGGCCAGCGGGGAUCCCCACUCCCGCCCGCCCCGGCCCCAUCCUCCGUGGGGUUGAUUUUCCCUGCCCGACCCCAGCACGUGGUUCUUCUUAAGGCCUUGCCCUCAGCUUCUACUUGUCGCCGUGCUCGUUUUCAGGUUGCUGUGAAAACAGCCAACACCGUUCGGACCUGAAAACUAAUUUCGUCUCUGUCUCUCUGUCUCUCUGUCUCUCUGUUUCUCUCUCUCUCCCCCCACCUCCCUCCCUCCGUCUCACUCUUGCAGUGAUUAUUGCGUUUGGAAAUAAUUCUCCGUACACCACCAGAACCGGCAGAAGGACCGAGGCUGCUCUUAGGACUCCACGGACAGACAGACGGACGCACAGACAGGUGGGAGAGCCACCCUAGCAAGACGCACUCACACUUGCAGAACAAAAGGCUUAUCUUUAUAUUUAUCUGUUUUUACUCCUCUGGAGACCCCAGUCCCUAGAGAACUGUUUUCACUUCCUGGGCCCUGCACACAGGUUUUCUCCAUGUUAAAGAAUAACCUUUGAGUCUCCCACACCCUGUGCCCUGGACUCCGUGGCCACAUUUUUACACACACACACACACACACACACACACACAUCCCAGGUGGUUUUCUUUCUUAGGUUGUUUACAACCUGCUUUCUAGGUUUUGAGUCUGAGGCUCAGGCCUGAUUCUUCGAAGCGUGUUGACGAGCUUCUGCCCUAUCAAGAAGUGUCUUUCCUGGUGGAAGUGUUUUCUGUUUGUUUGGGUUUUUUUCUUGUUUUGUAGAGCUUUCUGCUCUUCCCCUGAUCUGCUGGGCUUGAGACACAGAAAGGGAUCUGUGUGGCAAACGACACAGAAGGACGCGGUGUUUAGAGCCAGACGAAAACAGUCAUAACAUUAGGACUUUGGGGGUUGGUAAAGAGGAAGACGGUUAGGAAGAUGAAGAGGGCACAGAGGCCUAGAACUUGGUCCUGAUGUUAAAAGGGUAAUCUAUAGUUGGGCUCUGACUUCUCAGAGUCUCUGUUUCCUCAUUUGAAGAAUAGGAAUGAAAAUAACCACUUCAGAGAGGAAAAGCUAGCACAAGACAAAAGCAGAGAGGGAGGCAAACCGUAAGACGCUCUUAAUCGUAAGAAACAGACUGGGGGGUUGUUGCUGAAGGGGUCGGUGGCAGAGGAAUGGGGCACGUGGGUGACGGGCAGUAAGGAGGUCACGUGACAUGAUGAGCUCUGGAUGUUCUAUGAGACUGAUGGAGCUCGGAGCUCUACCUCUGAAACCAUUAAUACAUUAUAUGCUAAUUAAUUGAAUUUUAAUAAAUAAAAUAAAGAGGUAAAGUAAAAUAAAAUAAAAAUAAACAAAAUAACCACUUCAGGAGAUAUCCCCGAGGCUCACACGAGAUCAUUUAUGUGAAGACUCUGUAGAACGCAAUCAGUUCUUCUAAAAAAAAAAAAAACUAUAAAUAUUCAUUGAACACACAUUUUUUUUUAAAAGAUUUUUACUUAUUUGACAGAGAGAGAGAGAUCACAAGUAGGCAGAGAGGCAGGCAGAGAGAGAGAGGGGGAAGCAAGCUCCCUGCCCAGGAGAUAGCCAGAUGCGGGGCUCAAUCUCAGGACCCUGGGAUCAUGACCUGAGCGGAAGGCGGAGGCUUAACCCACUGAGCCACCCACGUGCCCCAAAUAUGCAUCUUAAAGAGCUUCACUAAUGGUAAAAAAAUUCUGUUUCUGUCAAAGUACAUUAAUAAAAAUGCAGUGGCUGCUGUCAGAAAAGUGCAUCCCAGUUCAACCACCCACUCAGCCAAUAAGCACUAAGGCCUCCUGGGCGCCAGACGUUGGGGACUGUAAUAGCGGACCGUCAGGUAGAGGGAGGUGGAGGAGAGACAGACGUUCAACAUAUAGUUAAGCAAAUAAAUAUCUAAGUACAAACUGCACAAGGGCUGUGGGAGUUUCUCCCAGUGUGUGUGUGUACAUAGAUGCGUUCAAAAAAAUUUGAAUAGACAGUAGAUUUUGCUAGUAAAUUUAUGCCUACAGGCAUAGAAAACUUUUGGGGAAUAAUCCAUGAGAAAUCAGUUACAAGUCUUUCUUUUUGUGAUAGGAACCAGGAAAGUAGAUAGGGGGAUGUCUUUUUAAGCUCUAAGUGUCUAUAAAAUUUGAAGUCUGGAACUAUAUGCAUGCAUUUUUAUUACUCUUUGCUUGUAUAAAUAUCAGUGGGUCUCCUAUUACCGAUAGACUUAGGUCUGAUUUGAUUUUCUUCAUUAGACUGUUCUCUAUUCAAAAGCGAAACCUGUUCUUUAAAAUGAAUAAAAGAUUAACUGCUUAGCAUAUUUAACUUGCCAGGCUAACCCAAUUAAAUAUUAAAUAGAAUAUUAUUGUACUUGAGCAGACAAAGGUCACUAACAAGAGUGCAAGAAUGCAGCAACCCACACCAAGUCGUUACCGGCCCACGCGUGCCCACAAAUUUUGCCUAGUCAAUAACACUUUCAUUCAGCACAUCGUUAUUGAGCGCCUACUGGGUACCAGGUAUUGUAGAUAAAACAAAGCAUACAUUCCAGUUGGAGGAAACAGACACGAAACAAACAAAUCAAGUAUGUAGUAUACAUUGUAUAUAAGUAUAUAAUAAUACAAGUGUCACAAAGAGAAGGUAAAGCAGAGUUGGGUACAGAGGGACCGACAGAGACGGACCGUGCUUUCUGGUUAUUUAUGGAAUACAUUUCGUGGUUGCACUCAGCAUAGAGAAGGGCCGGGAGACACGUCCGCAGUGACCUGGGUGAGGUGAAGGAGGGAUGAGCCACGCAGGCGAAGGAGGGAGGAAUGCGCUCUGCCCAGCGGACCAGUAAACGCCCUCAACUGGGAGUCUGGAGUCCAGCAAAGUUUAGCUGUAAGCACGCGUCGGGUAUGCUAUCCUGUCCACUUGUCAGUAGUGUUCCAAACAUCUCAUAAUUUAAAAUUUAUUUUUUAAAAAGUAAAAAUUAGGGGUGCCUGGGUGGCUCAGUUGUUAAGCAUCUGCCUUGGGCUCAGGUCAUGAUCCCGGGGUCCUGGGAUCGAGCCCUGCAUGAGCCUCCCUGCUCCACAGGGAGUCUGCUUCUCCCUCUCCCACUCCCCCUGCUUGUGUUUCCUCUCUUGCUCUGUCUCUUCAAAUAAAUGAAUAAAAUCUUAAAAAAAAAAAAAAAGUAAAAAGUGAACGCUGAUAGUUUUAUUAUCUUUGUCUAUAUAAAACUCAAUAUACCAUUCUGGGCAUUACAUUUCUUUUUGAGAUAUUUAAUAAAAAAGGAUCAAUGUGAAGUAUAACGACCAUAGAAACAGAGCUUUAUCUAUUUUUUUUUUAACAUUUCUUCACUUUUCAAGGGGUGCAGGGCAGGCUUAUUCUGAAGAACAUGUGGGCUCUUGACCUUGGGGUC